CCUCUCUAAGGAAGAUGU
rnacentral:rRNA from 1 species